rnacentral:misc_RNA from 1 species
CAAGAAGAGACCCUAACCGGUCCUCUCAACCCUGCCCAUCGUACCUUUUUUGUUGUUCCCUCGGCGGUGCUCGCGGGCCCGCCGGCGGGAAGACCAAACAAACCCUUUGCAAACAAGCAUAUCAAAUCUCUGAUCAAACAUGAAUUGUCA